UACAGAGGGUGCAAGCGUUGUCCGGAUUUAUUGGGCGUAAAGAGCGUGUAGGCGGCCGUACAGGUCAGCUGUGAAAACUCGAGGCUCAACCUCGAGACGUCGGUUGAAACCGUACGGCUAGAGUCCGGAAGAGGAGAGUGGAAUUCCCGGUGUAGCGGUGAAAUGCGCAGAUAUCGGGAAGAACACCCGUGGCGAAGGCGGCUCUCUGGGACGGUACUGACGCUGAGACGCGAAAGCGUGGGGAGCGAACAGG
rnacentral:rRNA from 1 species